AAACCGAACAACUAGCCCACCCCCUAAGAAUCAACAAACAAUGUUAAUAACCCCUAAUAUACUAACACGAACCAAUAAAACAUUCUUCCCCCCUAGUAUGGGCGACAGAAAAGGACACCUGGCGCUAUAGAAAAAGUACCGCAAGGGAAAGCUGAAAGAGAAAUGAAACAACCCAUAAAAGACCAUAAAAGCAGAGAUAAAUACUCGUACCUUUUGCAUCAUGAUUUAGCUAGAAAUAAUCAAGCAAAGAGCCCUAUAGUUUGAUACCCCGAAACUGAGCGAGCUACUCCAGGACAGCCUAUUGCAGGGCAAACCCGUCUCUGUGGCAAAAGAGUGGGAAGAUCUUCGAGUAGAGGUGAAAAACCUACCGAGCACAGUUAUAGCUGGUUGCCUACAAAAUGAAUAGAAGUUCAGCCUUUAGCCUUCUUAAAUCAAGAAAGUUUAUACCCUAAGUGAUUACUAAGAAGGUUAAGGAGUUAUUCAAGGGGGGGACAGCCCCCUUGAAAAAAGACACAACUUUAUGUGGAAGGCUAAAGAUCAUAGUUAUAAAAGGCAAAAUACCUAAGUGGGCCUAAAAGCAGCCACCUGACAGAAAGCGUUAAAGCUCAAGUACCAGCCCAUCCAUAAUACCGACCACCCAUCUUAUGCCCCCACCGUACAGCUAGUAGGCCCUUCCAUGCACCCAUGGAAGUGAUUCUGCUAAUAUGAGUAAUAAGAGGGCUUGACCCUCUCCUCUCACCUGUUUAUAUCAGAACGGACCCCCCACUGAAAAUUAACGCUCCCAAACAAAGAGGGAAAUGGGUUAAUCAUCAUAAACGGGAAAACCCCCCAAACAUAAAGCGUUAACCCCACACAGGUGUGUUCAAGGAAAGACUAAAAGAAAAAGAAGGAACUCGGCAAACACCGGCCUCGCCUGUUUACCAAAAACAUCGCCUCUUGCAACAACAUAGUAUAAGAGGUCCUGCCUGCCCUGUGACCCUCGGGUUUAACGGCCGCGGUAUCCUGACCGUGCAAAGGUAGCGUAAUCACUUGUCUUUUAAAUGGAGACCUGUAUGAAUGGCAAGACGAGGGCUAAACUGUCUCCUUUUUCCAGUCAAUGAAAUUGAUCUCCCCGUGCAGAAGCGGGGAUAAUUACAUAAGACGAGAAGACCCCAUGGAGCUUCAGACAAAAAGCAGACCAUAUCAUAGUACCCCCUCUAAAGGAAACAACAUUAUGGCCCCUGCUCUUAUGUCUUUGGUUGGGGCGACCGCGGGGAAACAAAAAACCCCCAUGUAGAACNAGGAGUACUUCUCCUUAAGACAAGAGCCACAGCUCUAACAAGCAGUAAUACUGACUUUCANAGAUCCGGCAUGACAGCCGAUCAACGGACCAAGUUACCCUGGGGAUAACAGCGCAAUCCUNCUUUUAGAGCCCAUAUCGACAAGAGGGUUUACGACCUCGAUGUUGGAUCAGGACAUCCUANAUGGUGCAGCCGCUAUUAAGGGUUCGUUUGUUCAACGAUUAAAGUCCUACGUGAUCUGAGUUCAGACCGGAGAAAUCCAGGUCAGUUUCUAUCUAUGACUGCUCUUUUCUAGUACGAAAGGACCGAAAAGAGGGGGCCCAUGCUUAAGGUAAGCCUCUUUCUGACCUAAUUGAAGCCAACUUAAUUAGACAAAAGAACACAACACUACACUUCCUAAGAGAAAGGAAU
rnacentral:rRNA from 1 species